CAGGAGAGCCCACUGUUGGGUCAUCCAGCAGGAGUUGUCUCCCAGACCCUGAGCAGGCUGGAUGUUGGGGAUUCUACAAUAAGGAAACUGAGUCUUGAAGAGGCUUAUCAACUUGUCUCCAGUCGCACAGAUGCUGAUUUUGACUUGAAGAAUUAACUAAUAUCCGUAAAGCACUUCACCAGUGCUGGCUGCAGAAUGGGAGCUUCAUAAAUGCCACUUCCUCUCUCCCUAACUCUCCUUCCUGGAAGAUUUCCUUCCAGUUUAUUAAGAAGACACAAUCCGCCAAGCUCUGAGUCUCAGAGUCAAAAACUUAAGGAGUCUGGGUGAAGCCUCCUAGGGACUUCAUCACAACCAGUUGGAUGCAGAGAGAGAAAAAUGGAGAACUCACAAAUUUCCGGAUUGGAUCCAUACAGUCUCAGGAACAAUCCUGCAAUGCCCAAAGGUUCCCCUGGUUUGCACAGGACUCUCAAAAUCACCCUGUUGAGAUCAUUUCCUCAUCUUUCAAAAGAGAUAAUUCAGGACUGGAGAAUGGGAAUGGCUUUCUCCAAGUCGGCCAUCCAGCCAGUGGAUAAGCCAGGAGGCAUUGGUGGUGAUGUGCACUGGCUUCAGAGACAGACAGGCCUGGGAUGGAAUCCCAGCUCUGCCACCUACUACUUGCUGGACAAUCUGGGCAAUGCAGAGUUUUGCCCAGAUGAGGCAAUUUCCUCAUCUGGAAAAUGUGGAUGAUACACACCCAUACCUUCCUCUCAGCCUUGUCUUGGCUUUGGAAAAAGAUGACAUCGUUUAUAACCUCUAUAAUUUGUAUCAUGAUGUCCAGCAUCUAAUGAAAAAUUACAAGGCAUACACACAUGCACAAAAGGACAAAUGGACUGAAAUCCAAGAAAUUAAAAUAUACAAUAUAACAGACUCA